rnacentral:misc_RNA from 1 species
GGAAGUAAAAGUCUAACAAGGUUUCCGUAGGUGAACCUGCGGAAGGAUCAUUAUUGUAUAACCGAGGUGCGAGGGCUGUCGCUGACCCGAAAGGUCGUGCACGCUCGAGUGCCCUCACACACAUCCAUCUCACCCCUAUGUGCACCACCGCGUGGGUCCCCCUUUGGCUUGUUCGGAGGGGGGCUUACGUUUUCACACAAACUUUGUAUGCAGUGUAGAAUGUAUUUUUUGUUUUUGCGAUCACGCAAUCAAUACAACUUCCAACAACGGAUCUCUUGGCUCUC